rfam:Erinaceus europaeus unplaced genomic scaffold scaffold00034, whole genome shotgun sequence
GUACUUACCUGGCAGGGGAGAUACCAUGAUCACAAAGGUGGUUUUCCCUGAGCAAGACUUAUCCUUUGCACUUCAGUUGUGUUGAACCCUGCAAUUUCCCCAAAUAUGGGAAAGUUGACUACAUAAUUUGUGGUAGUGGGGGAUUGCAUUUGUGCUCUUCUGGU